rnacentral:rRNA from 1 species
GUUUGAUCCUGGCUCAGAUUGAACGCUGGCGGAAUGCUUUACACAUGCAAGUCGAACGGCAGCACGGGUGCUUGCACCUGGUGGCGAGUGGCGAACGGGUGAGUAAUGCAUCGGAACGUACCGAGUAAUGGGGGAUAACGCAGCGAAAGUUGUGCUAAUACCGCAUACGCCCUGAGGGGGAAAGUGGGGGACCGCAAGGCCUCACGUUAUUCGAGCGGCCGACGUCUGAUUAGCUAGUUGGUGGGGUAAAGGCUCACCAAGGCGACGAUCAGUAGCGGGUCUGAGAGGAUGAUCCGCCACACUGGGACUGAGACACGGCCCAGACUCCUACGGGAGGCAGCAGUGGGGAAUUUUGGACAAUGGGGGCAACCCUGAUCCAGCCAUUCCGCGUGAGUGAAGAAGGCCUUCGGGUUGUAAAGCUCUUUCAGUUGGAACGAAACGGUACGCUCUAACAUAGCGUGCUACUGACGGUACCGACAGAAGAAGCACCGGCUAACUACGUGCCAGCAGCCGCGGUAAUACGUAGGGUGCGAGCGUUAAUCGGAAUUACUGGGCGUAAAGCGUGCGCAGGCGGAUUGUUAAGCAAGAUGUGAAAUCCCCGGGCUUAACCUGGGAAUGGCAUUUUGAACUGGCAGUCUAGAGUGCGUCAGAGGGGGGUGGAAUUCCACGUGUAGCAGUGAAAUGCGUAGAGAUGUGGAGGAACACCGAUGGCGAAGGCAGCCCCCUGGGAUGACACUGACGCUCAUGUACGAAAGCGUGGGUAGCAAACAGGAUUAGAUACCCUGGUAGUCCACGCCCUAAACGAUGUCAACUGGUUGUUGGGGGAGUGAAAUCCCUUAGUAACGAAGCUAACGCGUGAAGUUGACCGCCUGGGGAGUACGGUCGCAAGAUUAAAACUCAAAGGAAUUGACG